rnacentral:lncRNA from 1 species
AUGGCUCUCCCUGCCAGAGACGCCCCGAGCCCCUUCCCAGAAUCACACCCCCUCCCUGGCCCCGGAAGAAGUUGUGGUGCUUGCCCCGGAAGUUGUCCCGGGCAGAGUCCGGCCCAGAGCGAGGCCCUGCUGCUGCCGCUAUCGAGAGUUGCAGUUGUUCCCGGGGCUGUGGGAGGACAGAGCGCCGCGGUCUCCCCGCCCCCGGAGGCUCGGCCCGGUCCGGUCCCGUCCCGCCCCUGCCGGUUUCGCGGCCAGUCCUGGGCUCAUGGAGAAUUUCAAGUGGUUGCUAAUGUGAGAAGACAACAUGCCAUUUUGAAGUAUGACAGAAGUCCUGAUGCUGCAGCAGAGGCUAGGAAUAUUAAUGGCCAAAUCUAGAGAGUACAUGGUCUUCUAAAGAAGCCAUGGGUAGCUGCUGUAGCUGUCCAGAUAAAGAGACUGUCCCAGACAACCAUCGAAACAAGUUUAAG